AUCGCUUCUCGGCCUUUUGGCUAAGAUCAAGUGUAGCAUCUGUUCUUAUCAGUUUUUUUUUUUUUUUUUUUUUGUCUUUUCUAGGGUCACACCCAUGGCAUAUGGAGGUUCCCAGGCUAGGGGUCCAAUCGGAGCUGUAGCAGCCGGCCUACACCA
rnacentral:snRNA from 1 species